rnacentral:rRNA from 1 species
UACGAAGGGGGCGAGCGUUGUUCGGAAUUACUGGGCGUAAAGGGCGCGCAGGCGGCUCUGGAAGUCAGAUGUGAAAGCCCCGGGCUCAACCUGGGAAUUGCAUUUGGGACUCUAGGGCUCGAGAUCGGGAGAGGUGGGUGGAAUUCCCAGUGUAGAGGUGAAAUUCGUAGAUAUUGGGAAGAACACCGGUGGCGAAGGCGGCUCACUGGACCGAGACUGACGCUGAGGCGCGAAAGCGUGGGGAGCAAACAGG